rnacentral:lncRNA from 1 species
AGAGCUGAACCCAAGUCUUGAACUUGCAAGAUCAAAUUGCAGUAGGUUAUCUUCCAACUGAUGCCCUCCAAUGACUAUAGAAGUCCUGGGAUUAACCCCGCCAUCUACAAAACCAAGGCAAAUAACAUCUUUCUUCACUUGCACCAUAGAGUUGGCACCAAAUAUUCUCCAAACCACACUGCUGCUCUGCAACACCAGAUCGAUCGGAGGCACAGCAGGACCAACUCUAGUGCUUCCAAUCGCAGUCGAGUCGAAACACAAAUCGAACGGUGCAACUGCUGCAACUCUAGGGACUUUAGAAAGCUGUCUAGCAAAAGCAUUAGUGAGAGCUUUGUGAAUGGAAGUCUCGAGUACGGUGUAAGGUUGAACAGUGCUGAUCUUUGUCCCACCAUUCCCUUCGUUGUCGAUUUUUAGCAAUGUUGCAUUCAAUGGGACGGUAUAAUCUCCGUUGAUCUUGAUUGACUUAACUCCAAUGAAAUAGUCAGAGGAAGCAUCACCCUCAAAAGAACCAGAAGCUGUGCUCACCUUGUUCAGAAUCAAGGGGGUGUACAUAAGUGACUUUGAGACAUCCAUUUUUGGCAUAAGGACAUAAGGGCCAUCUCCGAAAAAGACAACUCCUUUCGAAUUUACCGACGAGCUCAAACAAAUAGCAAACUUCCUGUGAAAACUGAAAGUAGCAGAGAAUUGGGAUGGGAUUGAGAUUUUAGUCCUCCCAAGUCCAGCCAUACCUUUAACACCCUUAGCAAGUCCCUCUAGUAAGAAUGUGGCACCACAAGUAAAGAGCAAGUUUGGAACUUUGGCAAGUCGUCCGGGAUUGGAUCCAUCAGUUGAUUGAAUGGACACAACAUCCUGGCCGAACUCUCCAGAGGUACCGGUCCGGGUCACUGUGUUUUCAGGCAUAAGGGCACAUGUAUUGUUACUGCACCCUGGUUUGAGACUUGAGUAGCAUUCAGUGAUGCAGCUCUGUGAGUUUGCGAGAUUGCACAGAGCCGAUCUGCAACGAUUAGGCUUGUAGGAUGAAGAGACAUAGGCUUGUUCACAGUCAACCCACAUGUACUGCCCGCCAAGGUCAACAGAUAGCUUGACUGGGACAAGAGGGGUUCUUUGGUUGAUUUGGGCAAUGUAUUGGAGAGUUGAUGGGUCUUUAGAAACUGGAAGGACAAGUGCUUUAGGCCUGAAUGAUGAUUUUGCUUCAGAUGUUGUGAUGGAGAAGAGAAGACAUGAAAAAAGAAGGAAGAUGCAGCUACAAGGAAGAGCCAUUGUUUGGUUUGGUUGCUUUUGGUGAUGUGCAAAGAUGAGUUUGUGAGUAAUCAUAAUGCCUAUUCAGUCUGUGUUAUUUAUAUUGGUUUCUUUCUGUAUGAAGACGCGGCCAUGUUACAGACAGACAGCUAUGAAGGAAUUGUUAUAUCCAAGUGUGAUUAAACAUUGACCAAGACGAGUCUAUCUUAACAUAAAAAUAUGCCAUCUUUAUUCAAAUUGGUCAUGUCUGUAGACUAUAAUUCAACAUACUUUGGUUGUUCUUUAUAAUAUAAAAAACAUACUCUGGUUGUUAAAUCAUGGAAUGAAGUGGCAAAUGGCAAAAAAGCAUCGAAUUAUUCAGUAUAAAGAAAUGAAAACGAAUCUUCCAUUAAUUAUUCAGCACCAAGCAACGGGAAGCUCGUCUAUUUCCUUUAUUUGAUCUGGGUUGGCUUAAAUCUAUUAUUUCGGAAUAAAAUUUGGCUACAAAAGAAAAUCGAAUUUCUUCAACAGUUGUGCAUUCAAGAUAACAAUCAAAGUUACAAAUUGAUGAAACCAUAAAGCUGUGUACCUGUUGAUUCGGCUGCUGCACGUUGGUAUCAUCAUUUCACAUUGAUGAUUUUCCAGCUUUUCGAGAUUCAUAUGGUUCUUUUGCUGGUCGGGUUCCGAUGCCGACGACCUGAGGAUAGUUAUGUGUAGCUAUGUCUAUGAGAUACUUUCUUGAGUAACUGUCUGCACAAAUAGUUGAUCUACGUGUGGUGAAUGUGGGAAGUAGAUCUUCGUCAUCACCUCCAUUUUUAAAGGACAGUUUCCUAGUCAUUGGAGACGGCAAGCGCUCCUGCCAUAGUUUGGCAACGUGACCCCAAUUUGGAUAAAAUUGUAUGCUUCUAAUAGUAAUUUUUGGCGUUAAAAAUACACCAUCUUUUGGUAAAGAUUUUGAUUGCACCAGUGAUUUUUUAUUUUUUCUCAUCACCUCAUUCAAUUGAUCCAUAUAUCUAUCUAUCUAUGUUAUAACAAAGACGAUCAAAACCCUCCUUCAUAAGUUGAUGAGUCUCCACCAUAAGUUGGCGAUCCUCCUCCAUCAUCGAACGGAAUGACGUGACUAUGGUAGUUACAUCAACAAUUGGCGGCAAAGGCUCCAUCAUGUCAUUGUUCAUGAUAAUACUUUUCGUUGUCUGGCCAAGUUCAAACUUGGCCAAAUGCUCCCUCACAAACUCAGGUGAGAGAUCACUUUUUUGCUUCCUCUCCUGCGGAGCCAUCAAAUCAAACACAAAGGGUCCCACCAAACGUGUCAAUUUGUUUUCCGGUGAGAAAACCUACGUUGACUCGAAUUGAAUGCGAUUGACUUCUAUGAACAAGGAUUGAUUUCUGGCAGUACAAACUAAAUUAAAUUACCCCUACUCCUAUGAAGAUUCUGCGAGAGCUCCAAAAUCUAAAGUUAUAGUUAAAGUUGUUGAGAAUGAAAGAUAACUUGACAAGUGGUGUUAGAGUUGUGGGUUUUGUGAACCUGUGCUUUUGUCGAUGUAGUCAUCAAUGGUAACUUGCUUGAAGAAAACUGCUCCCUCCUUUUUAGCAACGUGGGCAACAUGGUGAUAUUGCCAUGUAGGUUGAGAUGAUGACUGUGAUGAUCGGGUAACUUCGACGCGUGCUAGUAAUUUGGGAUGACAUUUUAAAUAAUACACUUAAUUUGGCUUUAAUAAAAUGGUUUAAAUUUUUUGAAUUAAUCAUGUGGUAUUAAAACUAAUUUUUGGUGUGAACACUAAAAUUCUCACGAAAUAGAUUUUCGCUCUUUUCCUUGUAUUCUUUUCAGUAAAAUUUCCUCCUACAAAGACUAGUUGUGCUAUCAUCGAUCGAAACUCACAAACCAGUAAAACAUGACACUAGGCAGCAUGUGAAAAAGAAUGAAUAUGAUGCUCUAGUGAGAAAUAAUGCAUGGUUACCAGUGCAUUAUCCUACUAAUGUCAAUGUGGUUGGAUCCAGUUUCCAGGACAAAGCGGCACUCCGAUGGUUCUUUGAUGGGUUGUGACGAAGUUCUUCAGAUCUCCGCAUUAUAUGCUUCGAGAAUCGAGAGUGUCAGGCGAGAGAAUUCAAAGCAGCAGCAUCAAUUUGAGGAUAUGCCUGGUUUGGUUUUGGGCUAUAAUUUAACAUUGAACCUCUAUCCUGAACAGUUGGACACACUACUCAGAAACAAACAAAACCCAAAUCUGGGAAAUUUUUCCCCACAAACAGUAAAUCACAUUGCAUAAUCCCCCCACUUUCUUUCUUAAGCUUUAGAUGUAAAGUUGAAGUUGGCACAACUAGUUUGCCUGAACAGCAACGAAGAGCUGAACCCAAAUCUUGACUUAGCAACAUCAAACUGCAACAGGUUAUCCUCCAACUGAUGCCCUCCGAUGAUAAUAGAAGUCCUGGGAUUAAGCCCACCAUCUACAAAACCAAGGCAAAGAACACCUUUUUUCACUUGAACCAUAGAGUUGGCACCAAAGAUACUCCACACCACACUGCUUCUAUGCAACACCAGAUCGAUCCGAGGCACAGCAGGACCGACUCGAGUGCUUCCAAUCUCAGUCGAGUCGAAACACAAAUCGAACGGUGCAACCGCUGCAACUCUAGGAACUUUAUUAGACAGCUGUCCCGCGAAAGCAUUAGUGAGAGCUUUGUGAAUGGAAGUCUCGAGUAGGGUGGAAGGUUGAGUCAGAGGAAGCAUCACCUUUAAAGAAAGAAGCAGAACCUGUGCUGAUUUUGUUGAAAAUCAAGGGUGUGUAAAUAAGUGACUUUGAGACAUCAAUCUUUGGUCCAAGAAAAUAAGGACCAUCUCCGAAAAAGACAACUCCUUUGGAAGAGCUCAAACAAAUAGCAAACUUGCUGUCCAAACUGAAAGCAUCAGAGAAUUGAGAUGUGAUUGAGAUUUUAUCCCUCCCAAGUCCAGCCAUACCUACAACACCUUUAGCAAGUCCCUCUGCUAAAUUUGUCCCACAACUCAACAGAAAGUUUGCAACUUUUGCUACGCGUCCAUCAGUUGAUUGAAUGGUUACAACAUCCUGGCCAAGGUCUCCAACGCUAACGGUCCGUGUGACUGUGUUAUCAGGCAAAAGUUCACAGGUAUUGUUGUUGCAGGUCCUUGACUUUGCAAGCGAGCAUUGAGCCGAUCCACAACGAGCAGGCUUGUAGGAUGAAGAGACAUAGCCUUGCUCACAGUCAACCCAGAGGUACUUGCCACCAAGAUCAACAGUAAGCUUGACUGGGACGAGAGGGGUUCUUUGGUUGAUUUGGGCAAUGUGUUGGAGAGUAGUUGGGUCUUUGGAAAGUGGAAGGACGAGUGGUUUAGGUUUGAAUGAUGAUUGUGCUUCAGAUGUUGAGACGGAGAAGAGAAGACAUGAAAUUGAGAGAAGGAAAAUGCAGCUACGACCAAGAGCCAUGGUUUGGUUUGGUGUUUUGUGAGCAAUGCUGAUGGCUAGUGGAUGUGUUACUUAUAUUUGGUUUCUUUAUCUGUAUGAAAACGCGGCCACCAUGCUGUUGACUGACAGCUUUGGAUUGGAGGCAUCAUUAUAUAUAUAUAGAUUUAGUGGUGAUCAAAAAUUGACCAAGACUAGUAUACCUUAUGCCAGCUUUGUUCAACACUAGUUUUCGAUCGAUGGGGCACGUUGCCGCUUACUAUUUAAUCGACAUGUAGUAUAUGUUUGCUCACCCGUAUUGUGAGUGUUACUAAAUGAUAUAAUGUUUUUAUUAACUUUAGCAUGUAUGAAGUAUAAUCUCCGUUUUAUAUAUUACAAUACAUAUACAUAUUAAAAGGGACAAAAUACAAAAAGAACAUCUUAUUUAUCAUUAUAAUACGCAACGAUGCCUGAAAUCCUCAAAAAAUUCUUUGUAGACCAAGUUGCGGGUGUUUUCAGGUGUAUCUGCAUGAUCAUCUCCAACAACAAUGUGCAUUCCACCAGCAUAUCUAAGUAUUCAUUCAUGGAUAGACUCAUCUAAUGCACUUUUCUUUGCUUUUCCGUAGCAGAAGAGACCCUCCUGUGUUCUCAGAGAGAUUGCUCCUUCAAUGGCCAAGCUCGGAAACCAUUCAUGCAGUUCAGGAAAAAAAAACAAAAGAGGCAAUCAAAAACAGCCACAGUAUGGAAAUGACAGCAAUACGACUGAGGUUGAGAGAAAUAUGAACCCCAAAAUGAAUCAAUAACAAAUGUAAAGAAAAGAACAACAAUCGAAUAAACCAUAUCAUUGAGAAUCAUAGUAUUAGCAUCAACAACAGUCGAAAGUUCCAACCACAGGGAGAUGUUUACCCCCAGUCCACUGACACCACAAAGAAACAGAAAAGACAUAAUGUCAUCCCAUAAAGCUGUAAAAGCGAGAAUCCGUAAGCAAACAUACGACAACCUCUCGUCUGUAUGAUAAAAGAUAGUCACGAGUGUUACCAAAAAAAAGUAAGCGACAGCAGGGGCGGAGUAUGAGUUUUGCACAAUUAUUUUGCCUGGACAGCAAUGAAAAGAUGAACCGAUGGCCUUGCGGGGAGUAUUGGCCUUGGUGUUUGUUCGGCAACAAGGCGUCUUGGGUAGAUUAUUCGGGGUAGGUGAACGAGGUAUGUGGGAUUCGAGUUUUUUUUUCGGAAUAGAUCGAGACUUUCGGUCAAUAUAAGAUACAAGAAAGGAAAUAAACAUUACAUUGGUGUCCACUUCGUAGGGUAUACUGAAUUCGAAUCUUAGACUUCAGAAUCAUCAAACACACAGUCUACACACUCUACCACCGGAGCAACUCCACUUGAGAUCUGUACCAUGUAUCGUGAUCUGGUCCGCAGACCAAGAGGACUUAACAGUAAUAAUAGAGUUUUGAGCCUGCAACUUGAAGGUGCUGGUGUGAUGUGAGCCUGUUCUAUAUGGGCUUGCUGUUAUAGUUCUAGGGCCUAAUUCUGGUUAGGACCACCUGGCCAUCAACAUGUAAUUGGAAUUGAUAAGUGAUAGCAAGCAAAAAGGAAAACAAAUUACCCAAUUAUUCAAUGUAAAAUAAUGAAUAUUUUCCCCAGAAUCUGAUUCGUGCUGUGCGGUCCAUUGCUCUUCACUGUCACGUUUCUUUUUUGUUUAUAUCAUCAUCCCACCAACCAAGGCCUAAAAUUCAGAUAACUUUGAAUUAGCAAAUACUGACAUUUUACUCAUCUCCUAUAUUCAGAUAACUUACGAUAGAUUCUGGCAAAUUCCUCAAAUCUAAGCAUAUACCCAAAUACCACCAGGCGACAGAAUUUGCAGUUGCACUACGUAACAAUUUACCAACAGGAUGUUGAAGCAAAGUGACCUUAUUAUAAACUAGUUAAACAAAGGAUAGAGGUUAACACAAGCAAGACCCCCCUUGUCAAACACAGGGGUAAAGUUGAAGUUUGCACAGUUAGUUUUCCUGGACAGCAACGAAGAGCUGAACCCAAGUCUUGAAUUAGCAACAUCAAACUGCAGCAAAUUAUCCUCCAACUGAUGCCCUCCAAUGACUAUAGAAGUCCUGGGAUUAACCCCACCGUCCACAAAAACAAGACCGUCCACAAAACCAAGGCAAAGAACAUCUUUUUUCACUUCAACCAUAGAGUUUGCACCAAAGAUGCUCCAAACCACACUGCUGCUCUGCAACACCAGAUCUAUCCGAGGCACUGCAGGACCGAGUCUAGUACUUCCAAUCGAAUUCG